CUGGCAGCCAGGGGAGGCUCCCUCAGCCUGGAUUGCGAGAGGGUGCAGGCCAGGCCGAGGGACCCCACCAGUGCAUG
rfam:Myotis lucifugus cont2.45960, whole genome shotgun sequence.